GUAGCAAUGCUCCAGGUGAGGGACCCUCGAAGCUGUGGUUGCAGGACCCAUCCCUGGUGCAGCUGGGCCCUCCCAUUGCCAGGUGAGGGGCGCCAGGCAUGUCGGGAAGGAGGGGGAUGUGGGUCAGCCGCGGAACUCAUGGGAACUCUGUUGGGACAGGAGUUGUGGGAAACGGCCACUUCCUCUCUCCUGGCACCUCUUCCUUCCAGACUUGCUGAUCGAGGCGCUGGCGGGAGAGAUCAGAGGCGAGAGGCCUUUCUUUCCUGGGUCGGCGAGGGGCCUUUCUUUCCUGGGUCGAUGGAGGUGGGCUCUGACGUUGGGUGAUGCGGGUGGCCUCCAGCUG
rnacentral:lncRNA from 1 species